GAGGGCAUAGCUCAGUGGCAGAGUGUGUGCUCGGCAUGCAUGAGAUCCUGGGUUCAAUCCCCAGUACCUCCA
rnacentral:tRNA from 1 species